GAAAGAUCUCCCAUGCUCAUGGAUUGGCAGGAUUAAUUUAGUAAAAAUGGCCAUUUUACCAAAAGCAAUCUACAGAUUCAAUGCAAUCCCCAUCAAAAUACCAAUCCAAUUCUUCAAAGAGAUAGACAGAACAAUUUCCAAAUUCAUCUGGAAUAACAAAAAACCCAGGAUAGCUAAAGCUAUCCUCAACAAUAAAAGGACUUCAGGGGGAAUCACUAUCCCUGAACUCAAGCAGUAUUACAGAGCAAUAGUGAUAAAAACUGCAUGGUAUUGGUACAGAGACAGACAGAUAGACCAAUGGAAUAGAAUUGAAGACCCAGAAAUG
rnacentral:lncRNA from 1 species